AACCGGAUUAGAUACCCUGGUAGUCCACGCCCUAAACGAUGUCUACUAGUUGUCGGGUCUUAAUUGACUUGGUAACGCAGCUAACGCGUGAAGUAGACCGCCUGGGGAGUACGGUCGCAAGAUUAAAACUCAAAGGAAUUGACGGGGACCCGCACAAGCGGUGGAUGAUGUGGAUUAAUUCGAUGCAACGCGAAAAACCUUACCUACCCUUGACAUGUACAGAAUCCCGAAGAGAUUUGGGAGUGUUCGAAAGAAAACUGUAACACAGGUGCUGCAUGGCUGUCGUCAGCUCGUGUCGUGAGAUGUUGGGUUAAGUCCCGCAACGAGCGCAACCCUUGUCAUUAGUUGCUACGAAAGGGCACUCUAAUGAGACUGCCGGUGACAAACCGGAGGAAGGUGGGGAUGACGUCAAGUCCUCAUGGCCCUUAUAGGUAGGGCUUCACACGUCAUACAAUGGUACAUACAGAGGGCCGCCAACCCGCGAGGGGGAGCUAAUCCCAGAAAGUGUAUCGUAGUCCGGAUUGUAGUCUGCAACUCGACUACAUGAAGUUGGAAUCGCUAGUAAUCGCGGAUCAGCAUGUCGCGGUGAAUACGUUCCCGGGUCUUGUACACACCGCCCGUCACACCAUGGGAGCGGGUUUUACCAGGAGUAGGUAGCCUAACCGUAAGGAGGGCGCUUACCACGGUAGGAUUCGUGACUGGGGUGAAGUCGUAACAAGGUAACCGUA
rnacentral:rRNA from 1 species